AAUAGAUACCCGGGUAGUCCAUGCCGUAAACGUUGGGCACUAGGUGUGGGGCUCAUUCCACGAGUUCCGUGCCGCAGCAAACGCAUUAAGUGCCCCGCCUGGGGAGUACGGCCGCAAGGCUAAAACUCAAAGGAAUUGACGGGGGCCCGCACAAGCGGCGGAGCAUGCGGAUUAAUUCGAUGCAACGCGAAGAACCUUACCAAGGCUUGACAUGCACGGGAAGCCACCAGAGAUGGUGGUCUCUUUGGACACUCGUGCACAGGUGGUGCAUGGUUGUCGUCAGCUCGCGUCGUGAGAUGUUGGGUUAAGUCCCGCAACGAGCGCAACCCUCGUCCCAUGUUGCCAGCGGGUUAUGCCGGGGACUCAUGGGAGACUGCCGGGGUCAACUCGGAGGAAGGUGGGGAUGACGUCAAAUCAUCAUGCCCCUUAUGUCUUGGGCUUCACGCAUGCUACAAUGGCCGGUACAAAGGGCUGCGAUACCGUAAGGUGGAGCGAAGUACCCAAAAAGCCGGUCUCGACGUUCGGUAGUUGGGGU
rnacentral:rRNA from 1 species